GAAACCAUUCUGGGCUUCAAAAAUUCAGCUCAUUGAAGAUAUUAUGGGGUGUUUUGAGGAUUGUGAUAAUAAAUUGUAUUAAUGUGUUCAGCAGAGUCUUGUGUUCUCACAAGCUCCUUAUCAUUAAUAUAUACAUAGGAUGAGCGUCAAGGCCUACUUGGAGUCCUGUUUCCUUAGCUUCAAUUUUUUCUCCUGCUAUAGUUAUGCAUCCAAGGUCCCCAUGGCAACCAAUUAGUGCAUCUGGAGACACACAGCUGACUGGAAAGCUGCUUCUAAUGGCCAUAUGAGACACAUGAAGCCAGGCUCAGUACACAUAGCACUUGGGAUGACACUUAAAACCCUUCCUAGAGCGCUAGAAAAAACUUCAGCCCCUAUCUCCUCACAUGACCUUUGACCUACAGAAACCAUUCAGGGCUUUAAAAUUUAAGCUCAUUGAGGACAUUAUGGGGUGUGUUUAGGAUUUAUAUUCAUUUAAAUGUUUCACAUUUUAAAGUCACUCAGUGAUGAUUUAUCAUUUAAUUUUUCAAACUAAUUUAAACUCAUUCAAAAUGAUUCAAACCUUUCUAAUACUUCAAAACUUUCUGAUACUUGAGGAUUUUUAAUUAAUAAAAUUUUCCCUGUUUUAUAUUAGUUUUAAUAUUUAUGCAUUAAUUCGUCCUUCAAACAAAAUCCUACCUCUAGAGCUACAACUACUUAUGUCAAUUUAACUAGAACUUUCCCCUCUACUUCAACUGCUAUUGCUCCUAUUUCUACUUUCUCUACUGCUGCUAUUGCUACUAUUUCUACUUUCUUUACUACUUUGACUUAUACUUCUUUUAUUCUCAAUCUACUUCUACUGCUGACAUGACUACUAGAAUCACAACUUGACCUCUUAUCAAACUACUUCUAGUACUACAACUUAAACUUAUGCCACUUCUCACCUUCCUGCCUUUUAAGGCAAUUUCCUUCUUCAUUCAAACUUUGUGCAAUUUUAGACAUUUUUCUAGCCUCUUUCAGCAUGAAUAAAAUUUCCUUUUAUAGAGCAUAUUCAUACUAUUUGUCCUUCAACCAAUUAAACCAUUAUCCAACUUAUAUUUCUUUUUCACCCCUUCAACAGCUUUAACAUUUAUACCUUUCGCCAUGUUUUAUUAGCAGUUUAGCAUUGCUUUUUCAGCUUUCAGCACUCAGCAUUUCCACGCAUUUUCUGCAAGGAAAUGCAAUUUUUCUAGUAUUAUACUUAACACUCUCCCCAUACGUUUCUUUGGACCGCUUCUCCUCCUUCAAACUUUGUCCGAUUUCAACCGUUCAAACUUUAAACUAUUCCGCUCCAUCAGGACAUGAUGGCUAUUACUUUUCUCUUUUCUACCCUUUAUACUUUUUAUUAUUUUUCACUUUUUGUGCCAAACUUUUUUCCCCAUAGAAAUGAAUGGGGAAAUCUUUCAAUUCUUCCUGUUAUUCCUCCACCUUCUAGACCUUAUAACUUCAGCAUACUUUCACCUAGAGACCUCAUUUUUGCUUUAAAAUGUUCAUUGUCUUGUCGACUAUUGAUGUUGUAUUAACCUCUUUGUGCUAUCUUUUACAGUUUUCCACAAUUUAGCUUUAUGCAACCUGUGGUUUUCAGCAAAUUUCAGGCUUUAUAAUAGGGGUGUAUUGGAGAGGCUAGAGUGAUGAUUUGAAAAGCUAGAGUGCAGACCUCGUCUCUGAUCGACAGAACCUCGCCUGAAUAUAUCGCUCCCACGCCCACAAAUCUCACUCCACAGCCAUAAAAAAUACAUCAAAAUGGAGGUAUAUGUGUCCUGCUUCUCACAAAAGAGGUUUCAAAUCAUUAAAUCCUACCCCUUGGCCAGCAGGUGACCAACUGUCCAAAUAGGCGGAAAUCUCUCCCCAUUAGACCUAAUGUAUUUCUUCUCCAAGAAAAUCCUUAUCCCCACUCAGGCUCAGACUUUUUUAACUCGCUGCUGUGGCCACAUUUUUCGAAGUACAGACAUGAAAAAGACAUCAUUGUGUUCAUGAAGGACGGAGGAUUCGUACGAUGUUCUUAUUUUCAUUCUGGGACUUAAGGAAAUCACGCUAUGUGAAGAAGUUCACAGGCUGAAAUUCACUGCAGUUCAGCACCUCUCAGUCAAACAGUAGGUUAGUGAUUUGCCUUUGAUCUCACAGCUGUUUAGGAUGCAGUCAUUAACGAGACACACACACACACACACAUUCUUGUACUUGUUGCUUUUUGAGGUCCACCUUGCAGUUCAGCUGCUUGUACACACAGUUAAUAUGUGUCUGCUUCACCACCUAUCUCCACCCACAAACUUUGAGCUACAGAAACCAUUCUGGGCUUCAAAAAUUCAGCUCAUUGAAGAUAUUAUGGGGUGUUUUGAGGAUUGUGAUAAUAAAUUGUAUUAAUGUGUUCAGCAGAGUCUUGUGUUCUCACAAGCUCCUUAUGAAUAUAUACAGAGGGUGAGCGUCAGGGCCUACUUGGAGUCCUGUUUCUUUAGCUUCAAGCCUUCUUUCUCCUGCUAUAGUUAUGCAUCCAAGGUCCCCAUGGCAACCAAUUUGUGCACCUGGAGACACACAGCUGACUGGAAAGCUGCUUCUAAUGGCCAUAUGAGACACAUGAAGCCAGGCUCAGUACACAUAGCAAUUGGGAUGACACUUAAAACCCUUUCCUAGAGCGUUGGAAAAAACUUCAGCCCCUAUCUCCUCAUAUGACCUUUGACCUACAGAAACCAUUCAGGGCUUUGAAAUUUAAGCUCAUUGAGGACAUUAUUGGGUGUAUUUAGGAUUGUUAUUCAUUUAAAUUUUUCACAUUUUAAAAGUCAGUCAGUGAUGAUUUAUCAUUUAAUUUUUCAAACUAAUUUAAACUCAUUCAAACUGAUUCAAACCUUUCUAAUACUUCAAAACUUUCUGAUACUUGAGGAAAUUUAAAAUUUCCCUGUUUUAAAUUAGUUUUAAUAUUUAUGCAUUACUCCAUCAUUCAAAUAAAAUCCUACCUCAAGUACGACAACUACUCCUAAUGUCAAUUAAACUAGAACUUUCCCCUCUACUUCAACUGCUAUUGCUCCUAUUUCUACUUUCUUUACUACUUUGACUUAUACUUCUUUUAUUCUCAAUCUACUUCUACUGCUGACAUGACUACUAGUAUCACGACUUGACUUCUUAUCAUACUACUUCUAGUACUACAAUUUAAACUUAUGCCACUUCUCACCUUCCUGCCUUUUAAGGCAAUUUCCUUCUUCAUUCAAACUUUGUGCAAUUUUCGACAUUUUUCUAGCCUCUUUCAGCAUGAAUAAAAUUUCCUUUUAUAGAGCAUAUUCAUACUAUUUGUCCUUCAACCAAUUAAUCAAUUAUCCAACUUAUAUUUCUUUUUCACCCCUUCAACAGCUUUAACAUUUAUACCUUUCUCCAUGUUUUAUUAGCAGUUUAGCAUUGCUUUUUCAGCUUUCAGCACUCAGCAUUUCCACGCAUUUUCUGCAAGGAAAUGCAAUUUUUCUAGUUACUUAUUAUUAUUCUUCCGUCCCUUUUUUGGACCGCUUCUCCUCCUUCAAACUUUGUCCGAUUUCAACCAUUCAAACUUUAAACUAUUCCACUCCUUCAGGACAUUAUUGCGUGUAUUUUUUUUCUUUCUACCCCUUAUACUUUUUGAUAUUUUUGAACUUUUUGUGCAAAAAUUUUCCCAUUGAAAUGAAUGGGGAAAUCUUCAAAUUCUACCUUUUACUCCUCCACCUUCUCAGCCUUAUAACUUCAGCGUACUUUCACCUAGAGACCUCAUUUUUGCUUUAAAAUGUUCAUUCACUUGUCGACUAUUAUAGUUGUACUCAGUUUUUUUAUAUCUCUUACAGUUUUUCCACAAUUUAGCUUUAAGCAACUUGUGGUUUUCAGCAAAUUUCAAGCUUUAUAAUGGGUGUGUAUUGGAGAGUUUAGAGUGAUGAUGUCAUCAGCUAGAGUGCAGACCUCGUCUCUGAUCGACAGAACCUCGCUCGAAUAUAUCGCUCCCACGCCCACAAAUCUCACUCCACAGCCAUAAAUAAUACAUCAAAAUGGAGGUAUAUGUGUCCUGCUUCUCACAAAAGAGGUUUCAAAUCAUUAAAUCGUACCCCUUGGCCAGCAGGUGACCAACUGUCCAAAAAAGGCGGAAAUCUCUCCCAUUGACAAUAAUGUUAUUUUUCUCCAGGAAAAUCCGGAUCAUCGCUCAGGCUCAGACUUUUUUAACUCGCUGUUGUGGCAUCAUUUUUCGAAGUACAGACAUGAAAAACACAUCAUUGUGUUCAUGAAGGACGGAGGAUUCGUAUGAUGUUCUUAUUUUCAUUCUGGGACUUAAGGAAAUCACGCUAUGUGAAGAAGUUCACAGGCUGAAAUUCACUGCAGUUCAGCACCUCUCAGUCAAACAGUAGGUUAGUGAUUUGCCUUUGAUCUCACAGCUGUUUAGGAUGCAGUCAUUAACGAGACACACACACACACACGCACACACAUUCUUGUACUUGUUGCUUUUUGAGGUCCACCUUGCAGUUCAGCUGCUUGUACACACAGUUAAUAUGUGUCUGCUUCACCACCUAUCUCCACCCACAAACUUUGAGCUACAGAAACCAUUCUGGGCUUCAAAAAUUCAGCUCAUUGAAGAUAUUAUGGGGUGUUUUGAGGAUUGUGAUAAUAAAUUGUAUUAAUGUGUUCAGCAGAGUCUUGUGUUCUCACAAGCUCCUUAUGAAUAUAUACAGAGGAUGAGCGUCAGGGCCUACUUGGAGUCCUGUUUCCUUAGCUUCAAGCCUUCUUUCUCCUGCUAUAGUUAUGCAUCCAAGGUCCCCAUGGCAACCAAUUUGUGCACCUGGAGACACACAGCUGACUGGAAAGCUGCUUCUAAUGGCCAUAUGAGACACAUGAAGCCAGGCUCAGCACCCAUAGCACUGGGGAUGACACUUAAAACCCUUUACUAGAGCGCUUGAAAAAACUUCAGCCCCUAUCUCCUCACAUGACCUUUGACCUACAGAAACUAUUCAGGGCUUUAAAAUUUAAGCUCAUUGAGGACAUUAUGGGGUGUAUUCAGGAUUUAUAUUCAUUUAAAUUUUUCACAUUUUUAAGUCACUCAGUGAUGAUUUAUCAUUUAUUUUUUCAAACUAAUUUAAACUCAUUCAAACUAAUUCAAGCCUUUCUAAUACUUAAAAACUUUCUGAAACUUGAGGAUUUUUAAUUCUUUAAAUUUUCCCUGUUUUAAAUUAGUUUUAAUAUUUAUGCAUUACUCCAUCCUUCAAACAAAAUCCUACCUCAAGUACUACAACUACUGCUAAUGUCAAUUAAACUAGUACUUUCCCCUCUACUUCAACUGCUAUUGCUCCUAUUUCUACUUUCUCUACUACUUUGACUUAUACUUCUUUUAUUCUCAAACUACUUCUACUGCUGACAUGACUACUAGUAUCCCAACUUGACCUCUUAUCAUACUACUUCUAGUACUACAACUGAAACUUAUGCGACUUCUCACCUUCCUGCCUUUUAAGGCAAUUUCCUUCUUCAUUCAAACUUUGUGCAAUUUUAGACAUUUUUCUAGCCUCUUUCAGCAUGAAUAAAAUUUCCUUUUAUAGAGCAUAUUCAUACUAUUUGUCCUUCAACCAAUUAAACCAUUAUCCAACUUAUAUUUCUUUUUCACUCCUUCAACAGCUUUAACAUUUAUACCUUCUCCAUCUUUUAUUAGCAGUUUAGCAUUGCUUUUUCAGCUUUCAGCACUCAGCAUUUCCACGCAUUUUCUGCAAGGAAAUGCAAUUUUUCUAGUUACUUAUUAUUAUUCUUCCGUCCCUUUUUUGGACCGCUUCUCCUCCUUCAAACUUUGUCCGAUUUCAACCAUUCAAACUUUAAACUAUUCCACUCCUUCAGGACAUUAUUGCGUGUAUUUUUUUUCUUUCUACCCCUUAUACUUUUUGAUAUUUUUGACUUUUUGUGCAAAAAAUUUUCCCAUUGAAAUGAAUGGGGAAAUCUUCAAAUUCUACCUUUUACUCCUCCACCUUCUCAGCCUUAUAACUUCAGCGUACUUUCACCUAGAGACCUCAUUUUUGCUUUAAAAUGUUCAUUCACUUGUCGACUAUUAUAGUUGUACUCAGUUUUUUUAUAUCUUUUACAGUUUUUCCACAAUUUAGCUUUAAGCAACUUGUGGUUUUCAGCAAAUUUCAAGCUUUAUAAUGGGUGUGUAUUGGAGAGUUUAGAGUGAUGAUGUCAUCAGCUAGAGUGCAGACCUCGUCUCUGAUCGACAGAACCUCGCUCGAAUAUAUCGCUCCCACGCUCACAAAUCUCAAUCCACACCCAUAAAAAAUACAUCAAAAUGGAGGUAUAUGUGUCCUGCUUCUCACAAAAGAGGUUUCAAAUCAUUAAAUCUUACCCCUUGGCCAGCAGGUGACCAACUGUCCAAAUAGGCGGAAAUCUCUCCCCAUUAGACCUAAUGUAUUUCUUCUCCAAGAAAAUCCUUAUCCCCACUCAGGCUCAGACUUUUUUAACUCGCUGUUGUGGCCACAUUUUUCGGAGUACAGACAUGAAAAAGACAUCAUUGUGUUCAUGAAGGACGGAGGAUUCGUACGAUGUUCUUAUUUUCAUUCUGGGACUUAAGGAAAUCACGCUAUGUGAAGAAGUUCACAGGCUGAAAUUCACUGCAGUUCAGCACCUCUCAUUCAAACAGUAGGUUAGUGAUUUGCCUUUGAUCUCACAGCUGUUUAGGAUGCAGUCAUUAACGAGACACACACACACACACGCACACACAUUCUUGUACUUGUUGCUUUUUGAGGUCCACCUUGCAGUUCAGCUGCUUGUACACACAGUUAAUAUGUGUCUGCUUCACCACCUAUCUCCACCCACAAACUUUGAGCUACAGAAACCAUUCUGGGCUUCAAAAAUUCAGCUCAUUGAAGAUAUUAUGGGGUGUUUUGAGGAUUGUGAUAAUAAAUUGUAUUAAUGUGUUCAGCAGAGUCUUGUGUUCUCACAAGCUCCUUAUCAUGAAUAUAUACAUAGGAUGAGCGUCAAGGCCUACUUGGAGUCCUGUUUCCUUAGCUUCAAGCCUUUUUUCUCCUGCUAUAGUUAUGCAUCCAAGGUCCCCAUGGCAACCAAUUAGUGCAUCUGGAGACACACAGCUGACUGAAAAGCUGCAUCUGAUGGCCAUAUGAGACACAUGAAGCCAGGCUCA